rnacentral:rRNA from 1 species
UAGAGUUUGAUUCUGGCUCAGGAUGAACGCUGGCGGUAUGCUUAACACAUGCAAGUCGAACGGAGUGCUUCGGCACUUAGUGGCGGACGGGUGAGUAACGCGUGAGAAUCUGGCAAAAGGUUCGGGACAACAGUUGGAAACGACUGCUAAUACCGGAUGUGCCUGUGGGUGAAAGAUUAAUCGCCUUUUGAUGAGCUCGCGUCUGAUUAGCUAGUUGGUGUGGUAAGAGCGCACCAAGGCGACGAUCAGUAGCUGGUCUGAGAGGAUGACCAGUCACACUGGGACUGAGACACGGCCCAGACUCCUACGGGAGGCAGCAGUGGGGAAUUUUCCGCAAUGGGCGAAAGCCUGACGGAGCAAUACCGCGUGAGGGAGGAAGGCUCUUGGGUUGUAAACCUCUUUUCUCAGGGAAUAAGAAAGUGAAGGUACCUGAGGAAUCAGCAUCGGCUAACUCCGUGCCAGCAGCCGCGGUAAU